rnacentral:rRNA from 1 species
GAUGAACGCUGGCGGCGUGCCUAACACAUGCAAGUCGAACGGUGAUCACGCACGGGUGUUUUCUGAUGGACGCCUGUAUUUCUUAGUGGCGGACGACUUACUAACGCGUGUGCAACCUGCCCUAUACAGUGGGGUAGCAGCUGGAAACGGCUGGUAAGACCGCAUACUUCGGUUAGAUCGCAUUUUUUGCUCGGGAUAUGAGCACGCAGGUAGAGGAUGGUCCCGCGUCCGAUUCGCGAGUUGGCAGGGUAAAAGCCUACCAAAGAGACGAUCGGUAGCCGGACGGGGAGGUCGGAAGACGAGAAUGGGAAUGAGACACAGACCAAAAUGGGACGGGAGGCAGCAGUGGGGGAUAUUGCACAAUGGAGGAAAAUGUGAUGCAGCGACGUGGGGGGAGAGAAGAAGUAGUUCGGUAUGCAAAGCUAGAUCAGAAGGGAAGAUGAUGACGGUACCUGAAGAAGAAGCCCCGGCUAACUACGUG